rnacentral:rRNA from 1 species
GAUAAGUGCUGAAAGCAUCUAAGCACGAAACUUGCCCCGAGAUGAGUUCUCCCUGACCCUUUAAGGGUCCUGAAGGAACGUUGAAGACGACGACGUUGAUAGGCCGGGUGUGUAAGCGCAGCGAUGCGUUGAGCUAACCGGUACUAAUGAACCGUGAGGCUUAACCUUACAACGCCGAAG